CAGUUGCUGCUGAGUCAGGACAAGGAUGCUGAGGAUGUGGUGGACAAGGAUGACCUGAAUACACAGAAGGAGAGCCCUGGUUUUGAUAUAGAGUUGGUGCGGCAACAGCACCAGUCGGGCCCGCACAAGCCUCAAGUCAAGCACGACCCCUCCCCUGACCCCUAGCUUCUCCCAUUUGACUUCCAGCUUCAAAGGGUCAGCAUCGUUGAACAAAUUCCUCCUAUAAAAAAUUUUUAGCACAAAGAGUUUUCACACAUGGUUCUCAUCAACCACAAUUUUCGUGUCGAGUGAUCCGCACUUGAGCCUGUUUGGUUUGUUAGACCCGAGUGCCAGAGAUGGGACAACCGUUACAGACACAAGGACUUAUUGCAGAAGUUAUGGCAACAUGUACAGUCAGUUCUCAAUGUUGGACUUCACAACUUAUAUCACGAUAAAUACAAAGUUGGAUAACUCGUUCCAUUCUUUUUGGGACAAACAAUACAACGGAAAGUAACAAGAGAAAAUCAAGGAAUAUUUGUAGAGUUUUAGUCGGAAGCGUAUGCUUACCACUGGCAUACUCCUGGACAGUCGUAACUUUACUGACAGUCCCGGUUUGUCCUCACAGGUGUCCAAACUGUCCAAAGAGAACGCACUUUUGACGCAGUUGCUAACUUAGAAAGGCAGCACCUACUUUGUUGUGAACACUCAGAGCAUCCAUGGCCAUGCCUCAGGCGGGAAGUUCGACCAACAGCUGAAACAAGAUGCUAAAGGUGAACCCAUCAGGGUUUGUAACUUCCCACUCCAAUCCUUAACAGCCUGGCAUUGAGUCGGCGCUUGAGAAGGCGUUGAAAAAUGACAGCAGUUUUGUUUUGUGGUCCAGUAUGCCCUUUGGCUCUCAACCUGAUGUUAGGUAGAACUCAAACUGGGCCCUUAGCAAUAUCAGCGAGGCUAGAAUGUCAUCUCUGCAUCUUGAGCUUCAGAAAACAUUAUAAGCAAACAAGACAAACAUCAUGAAUGUUUAGGCAAUCCCAAUCCACUUAGUGCACAAAUACUACAACUCGCUCAGGAAAUUCAGCACGCCACCUUUUAGCAUAUUCUCACAAGGCGCUAAAUCUACACUUCCAACAGCUGAGCCUUGGUGAGUUCAACUUUCAUCACGACGAGUCACUCGAGGUGAAACAAUCUGAUCCACAGAUAGAGCAGGCGCUGAGUGACUCGCCUCUUAAAGUGACUGACCUCCAUAUGUUGCUCUCCAAUAAUAUGAACCUGACGCCUGAGGAGCAGCGUUGUCCUACAUUCCCGGUUCAGGGUGGUGACUUUGGCGUCAAGACUCACACAAUCUCUGGCUAUGGCAGCAGCAGCAACAAAAACAGGAAGUAUUUCAGCUGCGCUCUGGGAAAACAGGGCUUAAUGCAUGUGCCUCAAGUGUUUUACCCAUAAAAGCGUGUAAAGUCUGCCCAAGCUAAUUUGUGACCACACUUUCCGAAUAUACCUUAAAACAAAGAAUUCCAUAAAAGCUGAAAGUGUCGUGGCUGAUUAGUUUGUGCAGACUGUACAGGCAAAUCUGGAACUCUUUACGCUAUAAAUGCAUUUAGCCCAGUUUUUAAAGAGUUUAGAGUUGCACAUUUAGUUCACGUAACAUCAGCUUUUUUUUUUUUACCUUUCUGUAGAAAAGUUCCCAUUACUGAUCAGGAAUUUUGUGUUUUUAAAUUGGUCAAACUGACUAAAUAAAUACAUAUAAGAGUU